AACCAACUUAUUAUUAUUUCUCAGCAUUUGAAGACUGUAAUUUACUUUUGUGGCAUACUUCCAACACAGUAGUAUUAAGUCAUUUCAAUAUUGUGGGACUGCAAAGGAUGCUCUUCUGUGUAGUGUUACUAUUUAUGAAUUAAAGACAAAAUGGCUUAAAAAAUAAACUAUGUCAUGACUAGGAUGCUUAUUUAUUUUAAAGAAGGAUGUGAGUUAGAGCGUAGGAUAAUAUCAAACUAUAUCUGCUACUUCUUCACUAAGCAAUGUAAUUUAAGGGGUGAAAGCAAAAAUAAGUGACAUGAAAUUAGAUUUAUAUAAUUAUGAUACUAAUGUGUUCUUGUACAGAUUCAAUCUUAAAAACAGACGAUGAAGUAAAAUCAGUCACUACUUUCAUAAUGAAGUCUUGUUGGUUUUACAAAGCUUUGAUUAGUGUUACAAGCACCUCGUCCUCAAGAUUGUGGCCUUUGAUCAAGAUUUGUCCUGUUUAUGGAAAAUAGAUUAAUAAACAUUGUUCAAAUACAUAAUAGUAAACUGAAAUGUCAAUAAAACUUGUGUGUUUCUUAGGUUUUACAUAAUGGGAUACAUUCACUGAUCCCAAGCAGUAGUCUUUGAAAUUUCAUUACAAAAAAUUCAACAAAGUGUGAAAGAAGUGCAAUAGUAAGCAUGCUUGUCUUCAAAGCAAGUCAACUGUCUAAUCCUGACUGGUUCCUCUAUAGACUUACUAUGGUAUGUAAUUACUGCUAAUCCUGACUGGUUCCUCUAUAGACUUACUAUGGUAUGUAAUUACUGCUAAUCCUGACUGGUUCCUCUAUAGACUUACUAAUUGGUAUGUAAUUACUGCUAAUCCUGACUGGUUCCUCUAUAGACUUACUAAUUGGUAUGUAAUUACUGCUAAUCCUGACUGGUUCCUCUAUAGACUUACUAAUUGGUAUGUAAUUACUGCUAAUCCUGACUGGUUCCUCUAUAGACUUACUAAUUGGCAUGCAAUUACUGUAAUUUCAAAACCAUGAAAAAACCUGAAAAUUACUAAAAGGCGCUAUGCUAUUCCUAGCCAAUUAUAAACUUAAAAUAGUUGUGCAUAUACUCAAUAUGUAAAUUGUGUCUAUGGUUGGUGUUGUUGGCUGACAAAGACUGUUUUGAUACAGAGAAUAAAUAAUCAAUGUAAUAUCCAUGAUUUCACACAACUUCAAAUAUUUGAAGAAACUACUUUCUGAAUACUUUAUUUUUACAUUUUUCAAUAAAUAAACA